AUUGAACGCUGGCGGCAGGCCUAACACAUGCAAGUCGAACGGUAGCACAGAGGAGCUUGCUCCUUGGGUGACGAGUGGCGGACGGGUGAGUAAUGUCUGGGAAACUGCCCGAUGGAGGGGGAUAACUACUGGAAACGGUAGCUAAUACCGCAUAACGUCUUCGGACCAAAGUGGGGGACCUUCGGGCCUCACACCAUCGGAUGUGCCCAGAUGGGAUUAGCUAGUAGGUGGGGUAAUGGCUCACCUAGGCGACGAUCCCUAGCUGGUCUGAGAGGAUGACCAGCCACACUGGAACUGAGACACGGUCCAGACUCCUACGGGAGGCAGCAGUGGGGAAUAUUGCACAAUGGGCGCGAGCCUGAUGCAGCCAUGCCGCGUGUAUGAAGAAGGCCUUCGGGUUGUAAAGUACCUUCAGCGGGGAGGAAGGCGUUAAGGUUAAUAACCUUGGCGAUUGACGUUACCCGCAGAAGAAGCACCGGCUAACUCCGUGCCAGCCGCCGCGGUAAAAC
rnacentral:rRNA from 1 species